GGGUCAGUGGGUUGGUCGUGCCACCGGUACGUACUGGUCUCACUGAUUCCUCCUUCCUGAAGAACCGUAAUGCCAUUAAUUUGGUGUUGCGGGGAAACAGGACUGUUACUUUGAAAAAUUUAGAGUGUUUAAAGCAAGCUAACGCUUGAAUACAUUAGCAUGGAAUAAUGAAAUAGGACGAUCGAUCCUAUUUUGUUGGUUUCUAGGAUUGACGUA
rnacentral:rRNA from 1 species